rnacentral:rRNA from 1 species
CCUACGGGUGGCUGCAGUGGGGAAUAUUGGACAAUGGGCGAAAGCCUGAUCCAGCCAUGCCGCGUGUGUGAAGAAGGCCUUCGGGUUGUAAAGCACUUUCAGUGGGGAAGAAAGCCUUGGGGCUAAUACCCUCGAGGAAGGACAUCACCCACAGAAGAAGCACCGGCUAACUCCGUGCCAGCAGCCGCGGUAAUACGGAGGGUGCGAGCGUUAAUCGGAAUUACUGGGCGUAAAGCGCGCGUAGGCGGUCUGAUAAGCCGGUUGUGAAAGCCCCGGGCUCAACCUGGGAACGGCAUCCGGAACUGUCAGGCUAGAGUGCAGGAGAGGAAGGUAGAAUUCCCGGUGUAGCGGUGAAAUGCGUAGAGAUCGGGAGGAAUCCCAGUGGCGAAGGCGGCCUUCUGGACUGACACUGACGCUGAGGUGCGAAAGCGUGGGUAGCAAACAGGAUUAGAUACCCCGGUAGUC